AUGUGGUCGCUGGAGGGGGCAAAGGAGGUCCUCGGCAAAUUCUGCAUCAUCGAUCGGCUCGACAGCCACACCUUCGAGUGUAGGGACACGCGCACCUUCGCCUGCUGGGUGUGGAUUUGGAACCUCACGGACAUCCCCACCCACCACUGCCUUUCCAGCUUCAAGGAGGGGGUCGGCCAGUUGGUGGAGAUGCUGGGCUACUCCCCGCCGCUCAGGGCCAACCGCGCCGUCCCGCCACCUCUUGAGGGGGAGCGCAGCUCCCUUCUCUUCCACAUCGACCGCGUCGGGGAGUGGACGCCUCGCGAGGCGCGGUCCCCGGCGUCCUACCAGAGCGGCCUGCCCUCCUCGGGUUCCGACGAGGACGAUUGCCGCCCCCUGCCGGAGAUCGUUACGCUCCACUGGAGCUUCAACGUGGAGGACAACCGCGAGCACCACCCCCCACCUGCGCCGGCUCCUGUCCCUGCCCCAACCUAG
rnacentral:rRNA from 1 species